CUCUUCAAAGUGGCAUUAAGUCAGCCCAAACACAGACCUGGAGUUAUGGCCCACAGGCACUGAAACAGGACCCUGGCAGAACGCAAGGAAGGUACCAGCACGGAGGUACGAAGCAAACCGAAGGAAGCAUCUUAAACAACAUCCCUGCAAAAGUUCCUGCCCAAGAAGACAUCGGAAAGGUCAAACAUGU